rnacentral:rRNA from 1 species
UACAGAGGGGGCAAGCGUUGUUCGGAAUUACUGGGCGUAAAGGGCGCGUAGGCGGCCGCCUAAGUCAGACGUGAAAUCCCUCGGCUCAACCGGGGAACUGCGUCUGAUACUGGGUGGCUUGAAUCCGGGAGAGGGAUGCGGAAUUCCAGGUGUAGCAGUGAAAUGCGUAGAUAUCUGGAGGAACACCGGUGGCGAAGGCGGCAUCCUGGACCGGUAUUGACGCUGAGGCGCGAAAGCCAGGGGAGCAAACGGG